UCUGGCUCAGGAUGAACGCUGGCGGCGUGCUUAACACAUGCAAGUCGAACGAUGAUCCCAGCUUGCUGGGGGAUUAGUGGCGAACGGGUGAGUAACACGUGAGUAACCUGCCCUUAACUCUGGGAUAAGCCUGGGAAACUGGGUCUAAUACCGGAUAUGACUCCUCAUCGCAUGGUGGGGGGUGGAAAGCUUUUUGUGGUUUUGGAUGGACUCGCGGCCUAUCAGCUUGUUGGUGAGGUAAUGGCUUACCAAGGCGACGACGGGUAGCCGGCCUGAGAGGGUGACCGGCCACACUGGGACUGAGACACGGCCCAGACUCCUACGGGAGGCAGCAGUGGGGAAUAUUGCACAAUGGGCGGAAGCCUGAUGCAGCGACGCCGCGUGAGGGAUGACGGCCUUCGGGUUGUAAACCUCUUUCAGUAGGGAAGAAGCGGAAGUGACGGUACCUGCAGAAGAAGCGCCGGCUAACUACGUGCCAGCAGCCG
rnacentral:rRNA from 1 species